UUUUUCCCUUCACUUUUGUGCAUCUCCCCCUCUCACAAAAGGUAACCCAUCGUCGAUCUCUUCCAUCUUUAUCUUCUCCGACUGUCUCGACUUCCAUCCCUUUCGUCUUCUAUCUUCCACAGUCGUCUGAAGUUCCCCGUGAAAUGGCUAGUCAUUGCUAAGACAAUUCAACAAUGGAGCCACAUGGUGAAUUUCAGUCAAUGUCCUCUACAAGUCAGGAGCACCGAGUGUGGAUACUACAUCAUGAUUAUGAGAGAAAUUGUGACUAGGGAAAGCAUUGUCAUUUCGAAUUCGAUAUGUUAUAUAUCAAAUUAUUUCUUUUGUGGGUAUAAUAAUUUUCAUGAACAUUAAUUCAUUUAUUUUGCAUGUGUACAGAUUGAUACACAAAAAUCAUACUCACAUGUCGAGUUAAGUGAUGUGCGGGUUGAGUUAGCUAAUUUUUUGGGUUCAUACAUAUGAUUGUGACUUAUUUGUGAUUCUGAAGCAUGAUUUUUUUUGUUGUGGUUGCCAUUCUAAAACUUUAUGCAUAUAGAUAAUAUAUGUGAAUAUUUUGAAUUGUUCAUAUGGAGGGAGGAGGGGUUGAUUGGUAUACUUUUGAGAUUAGAUUUAUUAUAGAUAGAUAUACUUUUUGGCUAAGUUAGUUAAUUAGAGGAUGUUGAGUUGAAUUCCUGACAAUUUGAUGGAAUUAUUUAUAUUGGUUUUGUAAAUGAUAUGCAAUAUUCAUAUAUGUAAAGUUUUGGAAAUGAUAUGGUACAAGGUUUUAUUUAAA